GCAACGUGACAUUGGUGGAUGGAGCGAGACAUGAUGUCCCAGAUGUGCUGAAUUGGAUUCAGGUCUGGGGAACGGGCGGGCCAGUCCAAAGCAUCAAUGCCUUCGCCACAUGAAGUCUAACAUUGUCUUGCAUUAGGAGGAACCCAGGGCCAACCGCACCAGCAUAUGGUCUCACAAGGGGUCUGAGGAUCUCAUCUCAGUACCUAAAGGCAGUCAGGCUACCUCUGGCGAGCACAUGGACGGCUGUGCGGCCCCCCAAAGAAAUGCCACCCACACCAUUACUGACCCACUGCUAAACCGGUCAUGCUGGAGGAUGUUGCAGG